rnacentral:rRNA from 1 species
CUCCGCUCCCCUCCCACACGGCUCGGUGAUCCCAUCAGAACUCCGCAGUUAAGCGUGCUUGGGCUAAAGUAGUACUGGGAUGGGUGACCUCCCGGGAAGUCCUAGUGUUGCACCCU